UAGCGCUGAACAGCAACUGGAGGAAUGUAUAGCUAAGGCUAAAUGUAUUAUGUAAUAAUACAGAUUCGAUUUAUUCGUAUAAAGUUCUAGAUAGAAUUAUGAUAAUGACAUUGUCUAUCUAUAAGUCUUGACUAACAUACGUGCCAGCAGUCGCGGAAAGACGUAAAAGACUAGUGUUAUUCAUCUUUAAUAGGUUUAAAGCGUACCUAGACGGUAAAUCAAGCCUUAACCGGGACUAAUUUUACUAGAGUUAGAUGUAAGGGUGCAUUAAUGUACUGUUGAGUGUAGAGAUGAAAUUCUAUUAUACCAGAUUAUUGGCACGGGUUUAGGCGAAAGCAUCGCCUUAUGUAAUAACUGACGUUGAGGGACGAAGGCUUUGUAUCGCGAACAGGAUUAGGUACCCCAGUAGUCUAAGCAGAAAAUGAUGAGUGUCAUAGGUUAAAUAUUAUUUGGUCUAUAAAUGAAAGUGUAAGCAUUCCACCUCAAGAGUAAUUUGGCAACAUUGGAAUUGAAAUCAUUAGACCGUUUCUGAAACCAGUAGUGAAGUAUGUUGUUAAUUAGACAGCCCACCAAGAACCUUACCACAACUUGAAUAUUUUACAAGCGUUGCACGGCUGUCUUCAGUUAAUGUCGUGAGAUUAUGGUUAGUUCCAUUAAAUUAACGUAAACCCUUACUUUAUUUUUAGAUAAGUUGUUCGCCGCUAGAUUGGUUAGAUAAAAGGGACUAAGACAAGUCAUCAUGGCCUGAUGUUGU
rnacentral:rRNA from 1 species